rnacentral:lncRNA from 1 species
GUGGCUUUAUGUUCUUUCUCAAUUUACUCUCUACUUAUCUGAUUUAUGGUUUUUCAUAGUUUUGCCUAUGUGUUUGUGGGUGGAAGGGAGAAUGUAGAUUGAGAAUAGGAUAUGAUACGUAAUCUUCUUACUUACCGUCUUUCCCUUUUUUGUGUUUUGGUGACAGCUCCUCCACCAUAAUUGAUUGCUACAUGUUGCUCGCUUCGUAGUCGUACAGGAUUAUCAGUCGGUCUAUCUUCGAUGUUCCCACUUAUCAAUCCUGGUUGCUUUCCACCGGUCGUUGUGCAGCUUUGGAGUCAGAGUUCUGAUUUUAUGGGAUUUGUCUUCUGCUUUGUUCAUGGAGUUUGAUUUUGCUUCAAAUGGCUUUAUUGUCCCUCUCAACUUUUGUAAAUUCCACAUUCAUAGUGUGAAAAUGGGGGCUUUUUGA